rnacentral:rRNA from 1 species
GAUGAACGCUGGCGGCGUGCCUAAUACAUGCAAGUCGAGCGAACGGACGAGAAGCUUGCUUUUCUGAUGUUAGCGGCGGACGGGUGAGUAACACGUGGAUAACCUACCUAUAAGACUGGGAUAACUUCGGGAAACCGGAGCUAAUACCGGAUAAUAUUUUGAACCGCAUGGUUCAAAAGUGAAAGACGGUCUUGCUGUCACUUAUAGAUGGAUCCGCGCUGCAUUAGCUAGUUGGUAAGGUAACGGCUUACCAAGGCAACGAUGCAUAGCCGACCUGAGAGGGUGAUCGGCCACACUGGAACUGAGACACGGUCCAGACUCCUACGGGAGGCAGCAGUAGGGAAUCUUCCGCAAUGGGCGAAAUCCUGACGGAGCAACGCCGCGUGAGUGAUGAAGGUCUUCGGAUCGUAAAACUCUGUUAUUAGGGAAGAACAUAUGUGUAAGUAACUGUGCACAUCUUGACGGUACCUAAUCAGAAAGCCACGGCUAACUACGUG